UCUCCCUUGGUUAUCCUACAGUCUCUUUUUAAAUGGCCCAUUUUUCCACAUCGAAAACAUGAUCUUGUAUCUGUCCCUUUAAGGGGGCGUUGCCGGGACUGGAGAAUGGAGGCCGCCAAGCCUGCGUUAGUAAGAGGCCCACCGAGUUCUCUGCAGACUCUGAGCCAGUCCUGUAAUCCUUUGUUUUUUCUGGGUGCUAUAGCCGCCCGACAUUCCUGGGUGGCUUGCUCGUUAAAGAGCUGUUCUAUGAGCGGCGCUGCUUGCUCCGCAUCACCAAAUAUUCGUCCAGCAGUUUCUGUCAUUCUGGCUACGAAGUCUGAGAACGGUUCCUGAGGUCCUUGGAUGAUACGACACCGUUUCCAGAGCCGUGAUCACAGACUGUGAGGAUCCCAUGAGGGACCAAGAACGCCCAGCGGCUUAUCUACGUCCAUCUGACAAGGCUUCUGAAUCCUCCUUGUCACCAAGGGGUCUCCGGAGGUGCUGAUGAGGUCUUUUUCCCGGGUUUCGGCACCAAAUAUCCCACGCCACGUCUCGCCAGCAAGAAUGACGCAGGACACAAAGGAUCCU
rnacentral:sRNA from 1 species